GCCAGGCAUGGUGGCUCAUGCCUGUAAUCCCAACACUUUGGGAGGCUGAGGUGGGUGGAUCACCUGAGGUCAGGAAUUGGAGACCAGCCUGACCAAUAUGGUGAAACCCCGUCUCUA
ensembl:misc_RNA Metazoa_SRP Metazoan signal recognition particle RNA